UACGUAGGCAGCAAGCGUUGUUCGGAGUUACUGGGCGUAAAGAGUGCGUAGGCGGUGCUCUAAGUUUGGUGUGAAAUCUCCCGGCUUAACUGGGAGGGUGCGCCGAAAACUGGAGUGCUUGAGUAUGGGAGAGGCAAGCGGAAUUCCUGGUGUAGCGGUGAAAUGCGUAGAUAUCAGGAGGAACACCUGUGGUGUAGACAGCUUUGCUG
rnacentral:rRNA from 1 species